AUUAACUCCAAAGCUAGAUCAGGAGGCAAUAUCCUUCAUAAGCAGAAUCACUGUUGCUUAAGCAGUCUGAAUUAUGUUUUUAAAUUAUUGUUAUGAUAUCUCCAGGUAUACGUGUACAUGAUCUGAGCAACCUGGAGUAAUGCCAUAAAGCUAAUGCUGAAGAUCGGUGCAUCAGAUUAACUGUUCCUGGAGGCGGCAACUCCACAUGGCUCAUUACUAUGGCAUGCCUAAUUUCUUCUGCAAGUGAGGGGAGCAACUGUGGUGAGGGUGUGGGGUGACGCGGCGGCGUUCCACACAGCAUUCCCCACAUGCAACGCAUCCCCGCUUCUGUGAUGAACGCUUCCACCCGUGAUUGAGACUAGUCAUUUGGAGAUGAAAUACCAAAAGGGUAUUAUCGUGCAUUUCAGCCCGGCAAUCAAAAUGCAAGUUCUGCACCGCAGCGAGAAACAGAAGGCACAAGUGCCUCACUGACGCAUUGAAGGCGAGGAUUUUGUACCGCUGUGUAAAUAAAAUGCCUGCCUGUGACUUUAAGCACGGUGGUACUUGGCUAGAGUGAACCAUUUAUUCUUACUAUGAGGGAUACGGGGAUAGGGAUGAGGAUGAGAGGGGCGAUGGUGAUGGUGAGGAAGAGCAGCGAAAGCCCCAGCGCCUGGCGGGGAAUGGUGCCCCUACCUCAGCAAGCUGGACAAGGGAAUAGCUCCGGAUCCACUGCCCAGGAUCCCUCCUUUCCUCCCAGACAGGAGUUUCUCCACCAGAGCCACAUUCCCCGUGCGGGCGGCCUCCAGCAGCUCCUGGUCCUUGCCCAUGGCCGGGGACCGCGCGGCCCCCGCGCCCCCCGCCGCGCUGCCUGGGAGCGGAGCGUGGAUUCCUGCAGUCCCCUCCGGAGCAGCGGGAGCAGCAGCGGGAGGGAGGAGGAGAAUCACCUCCUCCUAGUUUCACUGGAUCAUUGCUGGGUGGAGUGUGGAGGGGAAGGAGGGGGGGAGCCAGGCCGAGCAGGAGCCUCCCCCCAGCUCCCAUCCGCGCACCCCGAGCCUCGGCCUGGAGAGCGGGGCGGAGGGCAACGGGCGGCCCCCGCGCCCGUGUCUGGGCGGGGCGGGGCGGGGCGGGGGGACGGCGACCCUCACACGGGCGAGGGAAGGGAAGGGCGGGACGGGGGAGGCGGCGCGGCCCCGGGGAGCCGGGCCCGUUGCUGGGGAGACGCGCCCGGCGCGCGCUCAGUGGCUGCCCGGGCCGCGUGCCCCCCUCCGCCCGCCCCAGCCCUCGGCCGCCCCGCCCUGCCCGCCCCUCGCGCGUUCCACUGCGGUGCGGGGCUGCGCGUGUGGGGAGAGGUGUCCGUCCGCCCGCCCGCCAUUCGGCCCCGCCAGUCUCAUGUAUCACCUGAUGAAUACCAUCUCACAUGUAUCCUCUGCAUCUUGUGCAUGGGAAAACUUCUUCACAGCUGCUAAGAACCACUGAAGAGAUGCCAGUGUUCUGUGAAGAGCUGAUUGUAAGGCAGGAAUAUGUGCACAGACCUGCACGUUUGUGAAUAAUGAGACUAGAAGCAGAUGCUAAGGAAAAUGCAGUUUUUUAAAGAAUUUGGAUUAUUUAUGUGGUUGGAUCAGCAGAUGGCAAAUAUGACUCAGUACAAACGUUACAUAAUUCUUCUUGGGAAAAUAAAAUCUCAAGACUGUGCUCUAAUUGAAAAGAUCAUCCAGAAAGCUGUUGAAGAACAGUAUGGAGGAUCAGGAUAGAAACAUCAGUGGAGCAGAUGCAUGCAGUAGCCAGCAAAUUUGGGAAGGUUUUAUGAACAUAGCGAGGUUCAAAGCAUUACCCAGGAUAUGCAUCAGUCUACCACCCAACCAAACUGCAAGUCCAAGCAGAGGAUUUGUAAACAGUUAUUUUAACGGUCUGAUAAAGAAAAAUGAAUUUAAGCAGCACUAUUUAAUGGCAGGGUUAAGCGCAGAUAAACUCUAAUGGCUACUGAAGCAAAGAAUUCAGCACAUUGAUUUCAUCUCUGGAUACAAACCCACAAUGGUCUGUGGUAAGAAAAAAAAGGUACUGGGACUGAACUGAAUGUAAAUCAUCAAACCUGUUAAAUCAGGUGGGCUUUUAAAUGUCUCAUUUUUAAAUGUCUUACAUUCUUUGUUCCUGGUAAUGUCAGGACAACACUGUGGACAGCAUUCAAAAUGACAUGUACCAUAAAUAUGUUAAAUAGACAUAAUAUGUAGAAACAUAGCUUUAUGAUUUGUAGCAGAUGAGAGAGAUAAUUUGUAAAACAGCCAAGAAAUCUUUCAAAACAUUGUCUGAUUUUCAAGCAGUGCUGUUCCAUACCACAGUGGAAUUUUGAUUUUAUGAUUUUAGUAUAUGCAAAGACAUUUUAAGUUAUGACCACUGCAGCUGUCAGUGCCUAAGUGGCAUCACACCUUCAAUCUCAGACUUUCUCUUAACACAACAUAUGCCUUACCUUCUGUUUUCUUCCAUUUUCUAAAAUACCAGAAAAAGCAGUUAGCCUACCUAGAAAUUCUUUAAUAGGUUUGUUAUCCAAAAGGACUGGGAUCGACUGUAAUAAACAGGGGUUUUCCUUAAUGUUUUUACAAUGCAGCCGUCAUGUGGUUUUGUUCCUAUUUCAGGGUGACAACUUGAUUUCCUCUCCCUGCAGACUCCCAUAGUCUAGGCAAGUUAAAUGAGUGCUUUCUCAAAUUCUCUGACUUUCCACUCUAUUUUCCAGAAGGAGCAUAGAGAGCACUGAGUUGCAAAUAUUGAAAAAAC
rnacentral:lncRNA from 1 species